AUAUCUCUCUGUACGGGAAGGAUGAGAAGCUUCUACCAGGGUUCGAUUCGAGCGCAGCGAGAAAGCGUUGCCGCAGGCAACGACCCGAAGGGCGAAGCGC
rnacentral:sRNA from 2 species